AUAUUUUAGAAGAUGGAAGACCUGGAUGCUUCAUACUUUGUAUAUGGAUGCCUCAUGUUACGAAGUUUCAGUCAGUCACAUGUCCAAUGUCCUUGACCUCAUUUUCAUGGUUCAGUGACUACUUGAAAAAAAAGUUCAGAUUUUUUGUAAUGUUAAAUUCUCUCUUAUUAUAAGUAAUAGGAUAACUAUAUUUGGUAUGUGCGUACCUUGCAAGGUCCUCAUGCCCGUCAGACAGUUUUCACUUGACCUCGACCUCAUUUCAUGGAUCAGUGAACAAGGUUAAGUUUUCGUGGUCAAGUCCAUAUCUCAGAUACUAUAAGCAAUAGGUCUAGUAUAUUCGGUGUAUGGAAGGACUGUAAGGUGUACAUGUCCAACUGGCAGGUGUCAUCUGACCUUGACCUCAUUUUCAUGGUUCAGUGGUUAUAGUUAAGUUUUUGUGUUUUGGUCUGUUUUUCUUAUACUGUAUGCAAUAGGUCUACUAUAUUUGGUGUAUGGAAUGAUUGUAAGGUGUACAUGUCUAGCUGGCAGGUGUCAUCUGACCUUGACCUCAUUUUCAUGGUUCAGUGGUCAAAGUUAAGUUUUUGAGUUUUGGUCUUUUUUUCUAAUACUGCAUGCAAUAGGUCAGCUAUAUUUGGUGUAUGGAAUGAUUGUAAGGUGUACAUGUCUAGCUGGCAGGUGUCAUCUGACCUUGACCUCAUUUUCAUGGUUCAGUGGUCAAAGUUAAGUUUUUGAGUUUUGGUCUUUCUUUCUAAUACUGCAUGCAAUAGGUCAGCUAUAUUUGGUGUAUGGAAUGAUUGUAAGGUGUACAUGUCUAGCUGGCAGGUGUCAUCUUACCUUGACCUCAUUUUCAUGGUUCAGUGGUCAAAGUUAAGUUUUUGAGUUUUGGUCUUUUUUUCUAAUACUAUAUGCAAUAGUUCAACUAUAUUUGGUGUAUGGAAAUAUUUUAUGAUCUAUAUGUCAGUCACGCAGGUUUUAUUUGACCUUGACCUCAUUUUCAAGGUUCAUUGCUCAGUGUUAAGUUUUUGUGUUUUCGUCUGUUUUUCUUAAACUAUAAGCAAUAGGUCAACUAUAUUUGUUGUAUGGAAGAAUUGUUAGCUGUACAUGCCUGCCUAGCAUGGUUCAUCUGACCUUGACCUCAUUUUCAUGGUUCAUUGGUCAAUGUUUAGUUUACUUGGUUAAUGUUAAGUUUAUGUGACAGUUGUAAUAAAGCUUUAUAUUUAGGACUAUCAACAUAAUAUCAAUGAUUAGUAAAGAAGGCGAGACAUUUCAGCGUGUGCACUCUUGU